CGCGGCCUAUCAGCUUGUUGGUGGGGUAACGGCCUACCAAGGCGAUGACGGGUAGCCGGCCUGAGAGGGCGACCGGCCACACUGGGACUGAGACACGGCCCAGACUCCUACGGGAGGCAGCAGUGGGGAAUAUUGCACAAUGGGCGGAAGCCUGAUGCAGCGACGCCGCGUGGGGGAUGACGGCCUUCGGGUUGUAAACCCCUUUCGCCCGGGACGAAGCGAGAGUGACGGUACCGGGAGAAGAAGCACCGGCCAACUACGUGCCAGCAGCCGCGGUAAUACGUAGGGUGCAAGCGUUGUCCGGAAUUAUUGGGCGUAAAGAGCUCGUAGGCGGCCUGUCGCGUCUGCUGUGAAAGUCCGGGGCUUAACUCCGGGUGUGCAGUGGAUACGGGCAGGCUUGAGGUAGGUAGGGGAGACUGGAAUUCCUGGUGUAGCGGUGAAGUGCGCAGAUAACAGGAGGAACACCGAUGGCGAAGGCAGGUCUCUGGGCUGUUACUGACGCUGAGGAGCGAAAGCAUGGGGAGCGAACAGGAUUAGAUACCCUGGUAGUCCAUGCCGUAAACGUUGGGCACUAGGUGUGGGGCUCUUUCCACGAGUUCCGCGCCGUAGCUAACGCAUUAAGUGCCCCGCCUGGGGAGUACGG
rnacentral:rRNA from 1 species